rnacentral:rRNA from 1 species
GUCCACCCCGUAAACGUUGGGAACUAGUUGUGGGGUCCAUUCCACGGAUUCCGUUACGCAGCUAACGCAUUAAGUUCCCCGCCUGGGGAGUACGGCCGCAAGGCUAAAACUCAAAGGAAUUGACGGGGGACCCGCACAAGCGGCGGAGCAUGCGGAUUAAUUCGAUGCAACGCGAAGAACCUUACCAAGGCUUGACAUAUACGAGAACGGGCUAGAAAUAGUCAACUCUUUGGACACUCGUAAACAGGUGGUGCAUGGUUGUCGU